rnacentral:rRNA from 1 species
GAUGAACGCUGGCGGCGUGCCUAAUACAUGCAAGUCGAGCGAACAGACGAGGAGCUUGCUCCUCUGACGUUAGCGGCGGACGGGUGAGUAACACGUGGAUAACCUACCUAUAAGACUGGGAUAACUUCGGGAAACCGGAGCUAAUACCGGAUAAUAUAUUGAACCGCAUGGUUCAAUAGUGAAAGACGGUUUUGCUGUCACUUAUAGAUGGAUCCGCGCCGCAUUAGCUAGUUGGUAAGGUAACGGCUUACCAAGGCAACGAUGCGUAGCCGACCUGAGAGGGGGACAGGCCACAAUGGAAUUGAGACACGGCCCAGCCCCCCAGGGGGGGCAGCAGUGGGGAAUCUUCCGCAAGGGGCGAAAGCCUGACGGAGCAACGCCGGGUGGGUGAUGAAGGUUUUCGGAUCGUAAACCUCUGUUAUUGGGGAAAAAAAAAUGUGUAAGUAACUAUGCACGUUUUGACGGUACCUAAUCAAAAAGCCACGGCUAACUACGU